CUCUCUUGGACCACUCAUUCGGGGGAAGCCAGCUGCCAUGUCAUGAAAACAUUCAAGCAGCUCUCUGGAGAAGUCCACUUGGCAAGGAACAGAGGUCUCCUGCCAAAAUCAGAAAGGAAAUGAGACUCCCUGCAAACAGUCAUGUGAAUGAGCCCUCUUGGAAGUGGGUUGUCCAGCCCCAGUCAAUCCUUCAGAUGAUGCAGAUCCAGCUAUAAAGACUCUGAGCCUCAACUAUCAGCUAAGCCACUCCAGGCUCCUGGGGUUUUACAUCAGUCACCAUGGAUGCUCCACCUCAUCUGCUAGCCUUAUCUGAGUGCACCUGCUACCAGAGAAGACGGUGUCUGGCAUUCCAUCACAGCUUCCCAGUACAGAUACCUGCUGCUCCCUUCUUCUCUGAUGGGGUCUUCUAUUGACAUCAAAGAAGCUUGCUCCACACAACGAGGAAUCCAUUCCAAGACUGAGAGAUUCCACAACUUGCUUGAUAUUUUAGUCAAACGAAUAACAGAAAAGACCAGCUUCCUGAACUUAGACAGCAGCUCUUGCAUCAUGGAAUAGUGAGCCCAGAAAAGAGAAUGAUACGAUUGAUAAACCACAGGAUCAAAAACUUCCCCAAAGUUCCAGUUCCCUGUGGUUUGGAAACUAAAUGAAACACCUUCCUCCAACACUGUGGAAUCAGAAAGAUCCCUGGAGCCAGCUCCCAAGAAACAGAAGUGACAGAACUUUAUGGUCUGCCUCUUUCCUUUCUACUGGUCUCUACAGUGGGGGACCAAAAUCCUUGUUAAUGCCUGGCUUUCAGAAGUGAGAGGCCUAUUUGAAAGUGUCAGGGCAGGGAGGAAGCUAGCGGUAGCCCACUGGGCUUUCAGAGGAGCUGCUUUCCCAAUUUUCUUUGGGAGAUCCUAGUCAAGUAAAAUAUAACAUCUUUAUAAAUUAUCCAGACUCUGUGUUUUUAAAGUAUCUGUGACUCAGUUAUUUAGUUGAAAAGCUUUAAUAUCCAGAACACAGGGAAAUUUCUAUAUUGUCAAUCCACACUUCAUUGUUUUGUUCGGUUCUGGCAACCUCACUGGGAUGGGACUUUGACACACUGGAGAGUGUUCAAAAGACUAGCAACCAUGAUGUAUGCGGUAUAUUGCAAUAUGUUGAAUGUUUUCGUCAGUGAAUAAUAAUUGCAUUCUUUCCUCAUUCAAGUUUAGACACAAUUGAAAAAUACAAACAGAGGAGUAAAAACUAUUAUUUUUAUUGCUGGCAAUACUGGAUUCAUGGAUAUGACUUGGACCUGCAGCAUCUAUAUUUUGGGAGCUAUACUUGCAAGGAUGGAACCUAGAGGAGAGACAUUGACCCAGCCCCUCUGAAGGCCCAUCUAUGGUCUGCCUUGUAUCUGUUUAACAUCAAGAGCAAUGACAGAGAAGGUUCUCUAACCAUGCCUCUAGAAGGCAGCACCAGGCCCUGGCCAGGUAUCACCAUAUGGAACCAGGAAUAGAAGCGAACACAUUCAUCUCUCUAGCAGGUUAGCCAAAAAGAUGGCUGACCAAGGGCUCAACCUCAACUAGGUUAUUAAUACACCUAGUUAGAUAAGGUGCUCCUCAGCCUUUGAGAAGAAUAAUGACAGGGGGCCAGGAACAAGGAAAACAUUCCUUCUCAAUACCUCUGGAAGGUGAAAAUUCCUAUUUUGGGCCAGGACAGAAAUGUGGCAGAGGGAGAAAAUGAUAUUCCUAAUAGAAUGUGUUUAUUUGGGGAAAGAGAAGACUUAGAAGAAGUCACCAGAUUUAUAUUUAAGUAUCUGAAGGCCUGUCAUAGAAAACAGGGCAGUAUCUCGGGUGAUGGGUCCACCAAAAUCUCACAAAUCACCACUAAAGAACUUACUCAGGUAACAAAAUACCACCUGUUCCCCAAAAACCUGUGGAACU